UACGUAGGGCGCAAGCGUUAUCCGGAAUUAUUGGGCGUAAAGAGCUCGUAGGCGGUUUGUCGCGUCUGCCGUGAAAGUCCGGGGCUCAACUCCGGAUCUGCAGUGGGUACGGGCAGACUAGAGUGAUGUAGGGGAGACUGGAAUUCCUGGUGUAGCGGUGAAAUGCGCAGAUAUCAGGAGGAACACCGAUGGCGAAGGCAGGUCUCUGGGCAUUAACUGACGCUGAGGAGCGAAAGCAUGGGGAGCGAACAGG
rnacentral:rRNA from 1 species